GACGAACGCUGGCGGCGUGCUUAACACAUGCAAGUCGAACGAAGAGCGAUGGAAGCUUGCUUCUAUCAAUCUUAGUGGCGAACGGGUGAGUAACGCGUAAUCAACCUGCCCUUCAGAGGGGGACAACAGUUGGAAACGACUGCUAAUACCGCAUACGAUCUGACCUCGGCAUCGAGGAUAGAUGAAAGGUGGCCUCUAUUUAUAAGCUAUCACUGAAGGAGGGGAUUGCGUCUGAUUAGCUAGUUGGAGGGGUAACGGCCCACCAAGGCGAUGAUCAGUAGCCGGUCUGAGAGGAUGAACGGCCACAUUGGGACUGAGACACGGCCCAGACUCCUACGGGAGGCAGCAGUGGGGAAUCUUCCGCAAUGGACGAAAGUCUGACGGAGCAACGCCGCGUGAGUGAUGACGGCCUUCGGGUUGUAAAGCUCUGUUAAUCGGGACGAAAGGCCUUCUUGCGAAUAGUUAGAAGGGGGACG
rnacentral:rRNA from 1 species